rnacentral:tRNA from 1 species
AGCCUUAUAGUCAAUUUUAUGAUUUUAAAUUGCAAAUUUAAAGUUAGCUUUAAGCUUAAGGCUU